rnacentral:rRNA from 1 species
UGGGGAAUAUUGCACAAUGGGCGAAAGCCUGAUGCAGCGACGCCGCGUGAGGGAUGACGGCCUUCGGGUUGUAAACCUCUUUCAGUAGGGACGAAGCGCAAGUGACGGUACCUGCAGAAGAAGCACCGGCUAACUACGUGCCAGCAGCCGCGGUAAUACGUAGGGUGCGAGCGUUGUCCGGAAUUACUGGGCGUAAAGAGCUCGUAGGCGGUUUGUCACGUCGUCUGUGAAAUCCUAGGGCUUAACCCUGGACGUGCAGGCGAUACGUGCUUACUUGAGUACUACAGGGGAGACUGGAAUUUCUGGUGUAGCGGUGGAAUGCACAGAUAUCAGGAAGAACACCGAUGGCGAAGGCAGGUCUCUGGGUAGUAACUGACGCUGAGGAGCGAAAGCAUGGGUAGCGAACAGG